rnacentral:rRNA from 1 species
UACAGAGGUCCCAAGCGUUACUGAGAAUCACUGGGUUUAAAGGGUGCGUAGGUGGUCCGUUAAGUCAGUUGUGAAAUCCCCGGGCUCAACCCGGGAACUGCUUCUGAUACUGGCGGACUUGAGGCCAGUAGGGGUCACUAGAACUGACGGUGGAGCGGUGAAAUGCGUAGAUAUCGUCAGGAAUGCCGGUGGUGAAGACGGGUGACUGGGCUGGUUCUGACACUGAGGCACGAAAGCGGGGGGAGCGAACGGG